rnacentral:rRNA from 1 species
UACAGAGGGUGCAAGCGUUGUUCGGAAUUAUUGGCGUAAAGCGCGUGUAGGCGGCUUGUUAAGUCGGGUGUGAAAGCCCUCAGCUCAACUGAGGAAGGGCGCCCGAAACUGGCGAGCUUGAGUGUCGGAGAGGAUGGCGGAAUACCCCAAGUAGAGGUGAAAUUCGUAGAUAUGGGGUGGAACACCGGUGGCGAAGGCGGCCAUCUGGACGACAACUGACGCUGAGACGCGAAAGCGUGGGUAGCAAACAGG